UACGGGGGGUGCGAGCGUUGUCCGGAAUCACUGGGCGUAAAGGGCGCGUAGGUGGUUUGAUAAGGGUGUGGUGAAAGUCCGGGGCUCAACCCCGGAUCUGCCGUGCCGACUGUCAAACUCGAGGACUGUAGAGGCAGACGGAAUUCCGGGUGUAGCGGUGGAAUGCGUAGAGAUCCGGAGGAAGACCGGUAGCGAAGGCGGUCUGCUGGGCAGUUUCUGACACUGAGGCGCGACAGCGUGGGGAGCAAACAGG
rnacentral:rRNA from 1 species